rnacentral:rRNA from 1 species
AUUGAACGCUGGCGGCAUGCCUUACACAUGCAAGUCGAACGGCAGCACGGGGCAACCUGGUGGCGAGUGGCGAACGGGUGAGUAAUGCAUCGGAACGUACCUUUCAGUGGGGGAUAACGUAGCGAAAGUUACGCUAAUACCGCAUAUUCUGUGAGCAGGAAAGCAGGGGAUCGCAAGACCUUGCGCUGAUUGAGCGGCCGAUGUCAGAUUAGCUAGUUGGUGAGGUAAAGGCUCACCAAGGCGACGAUCUGUAGCGGGUCUGAGAGGAUGAUCCGCCACGCUGGAACUGACACACGGUCCAGACUCCUACGGGAGGCAGCAGUGGGGAAUUUUGGAAAAUGGGGGCAACCCUGAUCCAGCCAUGCCGCGUGAGUGAAGAAGGCCUUCGGGUUGUAAAGCUCUUUCGGCCGGGAAGAAAUCGCACGGGCUAAUACCCUGUGUGGAUGACGGUACCGGAAUAAGAAGCACCGGCUAACUACGUGCCAGCAGCCGCCGUAA